CACUCCUACGGGAGGCAGCAGUGGGGAAUAUUGCACAAUGGGCGCAAGCCUGAUGCAGCCAUGCCGCGUGUAUGAAGAAGGCCUUCGGGUUGUAAAGUACUUUCAGCGGGGAGGAAGGCGAUAAGGUUAAUAACCUUGUCGAUUGACGUUACCCGCAGAAGAAGCACCGGCUAACUCCGUGCCAGCAGCCGCGGUAAUACGGAGGGUGCAAGCGUUAAUCGGAAUUACUGGGCGUAAAGCGCACGCAGGCGGUCUGUCAAGUCGGAUGUGAAAUCCCCGGGCUCAACCUGGGAACUGCAUUCGAAACUGGCAGGCUAGAGUCUUGUAGAGGGGGGUAGAAUUCCAGGUGUAGCGGUGAAAUGCGUAGAGAUCUGGAGGAAUACCGGUGGCGAAGGCGGCCCCCUGGACAAAGACUGACGCUCAGGUGCGAAAGCGUGGGGAGCAAACAGGAUUAGAAACCCGAGUAGUCCCAU
rnacentral:rRNA from 1 species